rnacentral:pre_miRNA from 1 species
UACCCUCCACAGGCUGGCUGGGCUGGGCUGGGCGAGUAUCUCUUGGAAAGGUUCACUCUCAAGCACAACAAGGAGC